rnacentral:rRNA from 1 species
GAGUGAAAUAGAACCUGAAACCGUGUGCUUACAAGUAGUCAGAGCCCGUUAAUGGGUGAUGGCGUGCCUUUUGUAGAAUGAACCGGCGAGUUACGAUUUGAUGCAAGGUUAAGCAGUAAAUGUGGAGCCGUAGCGAAAGCGAGUCUGAAUAGGGCGUUUAGUAUUUGGUCGUAGACCCGAAACCAGGUGAUCUACCCUUGGUCAGGUUGAAGUUCAGGUAACACUGAAUGGAGGACCGAACCGACUUACGUUGAAAAGUGAGCGGAUGAACUGAGGGUAGCGGAGAAAUUCCAAUCGAACCUGGAGAUAGCUGGUUCUCUCCGAAAUAGCUUUAGGGCUAGCCUCAAGUGAUGAUUAUUGGAGGUAGAGCACUGUUUGGACGAGGGGCCCCUCUCGGGUUACCGAAUUCAGACAAACUCCGAAUGCCAAUUAAUUUAACUUGGGAGUCAGAACAUGGGUGAUAAGGUCCGUGUUCGAAAGGGAAACAGCCCAGACCACCAGCUAAGGUCCCAAAAUAUAUGUUAAGUGGAAAAGGAUGUGGCGUUGCCCAGACAACUAGGAUGUUGGCUUAGAAGCAGCCAUCAUUUAAAGAGUGCGUAAUAGCUCACUAGUCGAGUGACACUGCGCCGAAAAUGUACCGGGGCUAAACAUAUUACCGAAGCUGUGGAUUGUCCUUUGGACAAUGGUAGGAGAGCGUUCUAAGGGCGUUGAAGCAUGAUCGUAAGGACAUGUGGAGCGCUUAGAAGUGAGAAUGCCGGUGUGAGUAGCGAAAGACGGGUGAGAAUCCCGUCCACCGAUUGACUAAGGUUUCCAGAGGAAGGCUCGUCCGCUCUGGGUUAGUCGGGUCCUAAGCUGAGGCCGACAGGCGUAGGCGAUGGAUAACAGGUUGAUAUUCCUGUACCACCUAUAAUCGUUUUAAUCGAUGGGGGGACGCAGUAGGAUAGGCGAAGCGUGCGAUUGGAUUGCACGUCUAAGCAGUAAGGCUGAGUAUUAGGCAAAUCCGGUACUCGUUAAGGCUGAGCUGUGAUGGGGAGAAGACAUUGUGUCUUCGAGUCGUUGAUUUCACACUGCCGAGAAAAGCCUCUAGAUAGAAAAUAGGUGCCCGUACCGCAAACCGACACAGGUAGUCAAGAUGAGAAUUCUAAGGUGAGCGAGCGAACUCUCGUUAAGGAACUCGGCAAAAUGACCCCGUAACUUCGGGAGAAGGGGUGCUCUUUAGGGUUAACGCCCAGAAGAGCCGCAGUGAAUAGGCCCAAGCGACUGUUUAUCAAAAACACAGGUCUCUGCUAAACCGUAAGGUGAUGUAUAGGGGCUGACGCCUGCCCGGUGCUGGAAGGUUAAGAGGAGUGGUUAGCUUCUGCGAAGCUACGAAUCGAAGCCCCAGUAAACGGCGGCCGUAACUAUAACGGUCCUAAGGUAGCGAAAUUCCUUGUCGGGUAAGUUCCGACCCGCACGAAAGGCGUAACGAUUUGGGCACUGUCUCAACGAGAGACUCGGUGAAAUCAUAGUACCUGUGAAGAUGCAGGUUACCCGCGACAGGACGGAAAGACCCCGUGGAGCUUUACUGUAGCCUGAUAUUGAAAUUCGGCACAGCUUGUACAGGAUAGGUAGGAGCCUUUGAAACGUGAGCGCUAGCUUACGUGGAGGCGCUGGUGGGAUACUACCCUAGCUGUGUUGGCUUUCUAACCCGCACCACUUAUCGUGGUGGGAGACAGUGUCAGGCGGGCAGUUUGACUGGGGCGGUCGCCUCCUAAAAGGUAACGGAGGCGCUCAAAGGUUCCCUCAGAAUGGUUGGAAAUCAUUCAUAGAGUGUAAAGGCAUAAGGGAGCU